GGAUGCAGGAUUGAUUUGGCUGGCUCAGUGCAUGUCCCCUUCCUCCUUCACCACUCCAUGUGUGUCCCUCCCAAAGCUGCACAACGUGGUCAAAAAGAACAACCUUUCCAGAUGGAAUAGGCCUGUUCUUCAGUCAAGGGUGCAAGAGUAGCUACACUCCUUUUCUAGAACCCCCUGUUGCAUCAGGGGGACCAAGACUGCCUGCUGCUCUGGGGUGGGAUGAGCACGAGCACUGCUGCCUCCUUAUGGGGGAGCCACUCCCAUAA
rnacentral:snRNA from 1 species